UACGGGGGGGGCAAGCGUUGUUCGGAAUUACUGGGCGUAAAGGGCUCGUAGGCGGCCAACUAAGUCAGACAUGAAAUCCCUCGGCUUAACCGGGGAACUGCCUCUGAUACUGGAUGGCUUGAGAUUGGGAGAGGGAUGCGGAAUUCCAGGUGUAGCGGUGAAAUGCGUAGAUAUCUGGAGGAACACCGGUGGCGAAGGCGGCAUCCUGGACCAACACUGACGCUGAGGAGCGAAAGCGUGGGGAGCAAACAGG
rnacentral:rRNA from 1 species